rnacentral:tRNA from 1 species
GCCUGGGUGGCUCAGUCGGUUAAAGCAGCCGACUUAGGCUCAGAUCAUGGUCUUGCGGUUUGUGAGUUCAAACCCCACGUCAGGCU